AGUUUGUUGGAAAAGACACCCCCCCCUGGUUCACAAAAUUUAAGUUCGAGAAAUUUUUUUCAUUAUUUUACAUUAUACGUACCCAAAGAAGCUAUAUAUAUAAAAAACCAGCUACAAAUAGCUGUUUUGCGAAAUUGAGAGCAAUUUUAAAUCUGUUCAGUUUUUUUUGAUACACCCUGUAUAUCAAAGUUUUAUUUUUCAUGGAAAAUUUUACAAAUACAUUCAAUUAAAUUUAAUGUUAUACAAAUCAUUUAAUCAAUUUCAAUACGUACUUCAUAAUUAUAUAAUAUAAAUUUGAAUCUACAGAGUACAAACAUAUAAAUUGUUAUAGUUUAUUUUACCAUGCUUCGCAUGGUACUACUCGGUCACAAAUGGUAAAUGCCCAAUUUAUAACAGAGAUAGAUCAUCGUUCCGUCUGUAGUACAAAUAUGGCCUCCUUCGCAGACCUUAUGUCUCCAAUAAGAACUGGGAAGAAUAUACCAGUAGAAAUCAAGGCAUUUUUAUAAGAAAAAUAUUCCAGUUACACGCGGAGCUCAGGGGUUAGUUGUUCGAAAGUCGAUCACCCUAGGUUAACCUAAAAUUCAAGGCAAACUUCCGAACGGCUUUUUUAUAAAUUUGGAAAUAUUUCUCUAGAAAUCUUGUCUGAAUCAGUAGGCAUUUUCUUCUCUGAAAUAAACAGACGUGCAGAUAUACAUAAACUAAAACAGCAGGUUAAAUUUUAACCGAGGGUUAGUGCUAAUUUAGCUUUGAACAACCGACCCCAGAUAUAUAAAUCAGGACGGGGGGGGGGAUGUUAAAAAGAGUUUAUAAAAGUUUCUGUGAUCAAAGUAGGAAUUUUCGUUAGGUAAUUCUACGUUUUGAAGGAUUUCUAAGAAAUAUUUGAGGAAACUGACUUAGUGUUUAACACUGAAGCCCCGUUUACACUACGCUCGAUUUUUGGUACUGUAAUACUAAAUACCUAAAUAGGUAGUCCAAGAACCAAAAAAGUGGUACGGGUACCAAUUUUAUCCAUGCCGUACCAAAAAUUGAGCGUAGUGUAAACGGGGCUGGAGUCCAUUGCCUCAAACAUUUCUUACAAAUCUUAGAAUUUACCGAUGCAAAAUUCCUACUGUGGUCACAGAAACUUUAGCCGUGUUUACACUACGAGCCUAAGCCUGGCCUAGGCCAACCUUUGGACUAGAUUUCUGUAGUCUAAACGCACUUGGGCCCAUCAAAACAGGUGGUCCAGAUUUCCUGGCCUAGGCCAGGCCGAAGUGCGUUUACACUACAAAAUUCACGUCCAAAGGUAGGCCCAGGCCAGGCUUAGGCUCGUAGUGUCAACACGGCUUUUGAUAGUGUGAAACCAGCCUUAACAUGACUUGAUCACGUGACUAAAUGUAAACGAGGCUUAUCUCAACAAUAAUUCCACAACCUAAACUCUAGGUCCACUUUUAUCGUUCGUUUGAGCCGCCUUCAAGUUGUUUUUCUUAAAUGAAGUAAUUGAGCUCAACAGAUCACCUCUGCCUUUGGUCUGGGGAGGAGCGCCAUUUUUGGUGACCGCAGGUGGUGGUUGGGGUACAGGGGGUGGGGCGGGGACUGAGGGGGCACUUGAUGCACCAUAGUUGUCUACUGAUUGAGCUUU
rnacentral:lncRNA from 1 species